CCCCAGGGAUCUCCUCGAGAUGCCCGGAGCUGCAAAGGAAAAGCGGAACUUGGUGGCAAGGAAACGUGCUCAGGGUGAAGAGGCGCAGGCUCUCGGGCAGGCAGGAGCAGCCCCGGCCCCUCUGCAACAGGAGGAAACCGAAGAGGUGCAGAUCUCUCUGUUUUGAAAGCCUCGUGUAGACAGGAAGCGACAGGAACUCGCUGUACAUCCCCCGCUGUGGUUGGUCUUUACCUUCUCGUGUCUCCUCGUGGCAAAUUAACCUGGAAAAUGACAACUUUGUGUGAAAAAAAAAGAAAAAUAAAAGGAGAAAAAAACAACCUAUCUGGGCAUGUGUGAAAGUGCAUCAUGGGUGAGCUGAUCCAUGUGUGAGCUGGUCCAUGCCAUGAGCUGAUCCAUGUGUGAGCUGAUCCAUGCCAUGAGCUGGUCCAUGUGUGAGCUGAUCCAUGUGUGAGCUGAUCCAUGCCAUGAGCUGGUCCAUGUGUGAGCUGAUCCAUGUGUGAGCUGGUCCAUGUGUGAGCUGGUCCAUGUGUGAGCUGGUCCAUGCCAUGAACUGAUCCAUGCCUUGAGUUGAUCCAUGCCUUGAGCUGAUCCAUGCCAUGAGCUGCUCCAUGUGCGAGCUGCUCCAUGUGUGAGCUGAUCCAUGCCUUGAGUUGAUCCACGCCAUGAGCUGCUCCAUGCCUUGAGCUGAUCCAUUCCUUGAGCUGCUCCAUGCCUUGAGCUGCUCCAUGCUGUAACACAAGCUUGCCUCUUGGAUUUGUUAUCGCACACAGAGCAUGCAAAUAAAGCUGGAAUCACUUUA